GGGUCGAAGCGGAGAAUUUAAGCCCCAGUAAACGGCGGUGGUAACUAUAACCAUCCUAAGGUAGCGAAAUUCCUUGUCGGGUAAGUUCCGACCUGCACGAAUGGCGUAACGACUUCCCUGCUGUCUCAACCACAGACCCGGCGAAAUUGCAGUACGAGUAAAGAUGCUCGUUACGCGCGGCAGGACGAAAAGACCCCGGGACCUUCACUAUAGCUUGGUAUUGGUGUUCGGUUCGGUUUGUGUAGGAUAGGUGGGAGACUGUGAUGCCUCAACGCCAGUUGGGGUGGAGUCGUUGUUGAAAUACCACUCUGAUCGUAUUGGACAUCUCAACCUCGGCCCGUGAUCCGGGUUAGGGACAGUGCCUGGUGGGUAGUUUAACUGGGGCGGUUGCCUCCCAAAGAGUAACGGAGGCGCCCAAAGGUUCCCUCAGCCUGGUUGGCAAUCAGGUGUUGAGUGUAAGUGCACAAGGGAGCUUGACUGUGAGACUGACAGGUCGAGCAGGUAGGAAACUAGGGACUAGUGAUCCGGCACCGGCUUGUGGAAGCGGUGUCGCUCAACGGAUAAAAGGUACCCCGGGGAUAACAGGCUGAUCUUCCCCAAGAGUCCAUAUCGACGGGAUGGUUUGGCACCUCGAUGUCGGCUCGUCGCAUCCUGGGGCUGGAGUAGGUCCCAAGGGUUGGGCUGUUCGCCCAUUAAAGCGGCACGCGAGCUGGGUUUAGAACGUCGUGAGACAGUUCGGUCUCUAUCCGCCGCGCGCGUAGAAACUUGAGGAAGGCUGUCCCUAGUACGAGAGGACCGGGAUGGACGUACCUCUGGUGUGCCAGUUGUCCCGCCUGGGGCAUGGCUGGUUGGCUACGUACGGAAGGGAUAACCGCUGAAAGCAUCUAAGCGGGAAGCCUGUUCCAAGAUUAGGUUUCUUUUGAGGUCCCCUAUAGAUGAUGGGGUUGAUAGGCCGGAUCUGGAAGCAUCGUAAGGUGUGGAGGUGACCGGUACUAAUAGACCAAACAUUCAACAC
rnacentral:rRNA from 2 species